rnacentral:rRNA from 1 species
AAUGACCUCAAUCUGCA